GAUGAACGCUGGCGGCGUGCCUAAUACAUGCAAGUCGAGCGAACGGACGAGAAGCUUGCUUCUCUGAUGUUAGCGGCGGACGGGUGAGUAACACGUGGAUAACCUACCUAUAAGACUGGGAUAACUUCGGAAAACCGGAGCUAAUACCGGAUAAUAUUUUGAACCGCAUGGUUCAAAAGUGAAAAACGGUCUUGCUGUCACUUAUAGAUGGAUCCGCGCUGCAUUAGCUAGUUGGUAAGGUAACGGCUUACCAAGGCAACGAUGCAUAGCCGACCUGAGAGGGUGAUCGGCCACACUGGAACUGAGACACGGUCCAGACUCCUACGGGAGGCAGCAGUAGGGAAUCUUCCGCAAUGGGCGAAAGCCUGACGGAGCAACGCCGCGUGAGUGAUGAAGGUCUUCGGAUCGUAAAACUCUGUUAUUAGGGAAGAACAUAUGUGUAAGUAACUGUGCACAUCUUGACGGUACCUAAUCAGAAAGCCACGGCUAACUACGUG
rnacentral:rRNA from 1 species